rnacentral:lncRNA from 1 species
CAAUGUAUUUCUGUGCAGUAGCAAAAUUUGUAUACUGUCAGCAACUUCAUGGUCAAAAAGCUCAUAAUUUGUUGGGAGUAUGUAUAUGUGACAUGAUAGUUAUGUUAAUGUGAUAGUAAAAAUAUUGUACUCUUAUGUUCUUUUGACAAUGAUAGAUAGAUAGAUAGAUUAAGAAUUAAUUACUACCUAUGGUCUAUGGUCCAAUUAUAAGAGAAGUAACAUCACAUUUUCUUUUCCAUUUUAGUUAAAUAAAUGUGGUU